GACGAACGCUGGCGGCGUGCUUAACACAUGCAAGUCGUACGGUAAGGCCCUUUCGGGGGUACACGAGUGGCGAACGGGCGAGUAACACGUGAGUAACCUGCCCACAACUUUGGGAUAACGCUAGGAAACUGGUGCUAAUACUGGAUAUGUGCUCCUGCUGCCUGGUGGGGGUUGGAAAGCUCCGGGGGUUGUGGAUGGACUCGCGGCCUAUCAGCUUGUUGGUGGGGUAGUGGCCUACCAAGGCGGCGACGGGGAGCCGGCCUGGGGGGGUGACCGGCCACCUUUGGGCUGGGGUACGGCCCAGACUCCUACGGGGGGCAGCAGGGGGGAAUAUUGCACAAUGGGCGCGAGCCUGAUGCAACAACGCCGCGUGCGGGAUGACGGCCUUCGGGUUGUAAACCGCUUUCAGCAGGGACGAAGCUUUUUGUGACGGUACCUGCAGAAGAAGCACCGGCUAACUACGUG
rnacentral:rRNA from 1 species